CUCUCACUUUGUAAUCGAUCAGCUGCAAUGAAGUGGGUAGAGUGGGUAGCCGCUGUCGAGGAUCGCCAUCGAGAGGGCGACGGCCGCGCUCUCGACGGUUCGGCCAGCAUCAGUGCUCACCCCACGGUUCUUGGCCUCAAGGUUUACCUCCUCUGCCCUCCCUCACCUUAUCUUCUUCGGUAUGCACUUGUGUUGUGUUGUGUUGCAGGGCCAGAGCAGCAACUGGGUGGUCGUCGAGUUCAGGCAUCCGAACCCCUCCAACGACGACUGGGUCGGCGUCUUCUCUCCCUCGGGUUUCAGGUACUCGACGGACUAUGGCAUGUUUAGGCUCUGCAUAGCGAACACGGAGGAGGACUGGGGGCCGGGAACGGAGCAGUACAAGUUCAUCGAUCGAAGCAGCCCUGGCUCGUCUUCCUCGCGCACCGUGUUCUCGGCUACUCGUCGGGUGGCUGGUACGAGACAAUGAUGGGCUCGUACGGGGAGCCGAUGGGCCGGGACGGGCUUCAAGACCUCUGGCAGAGGUACGAUAUAGCGGUCUUCGGCCACAUCCACGGAUACGAGCGCACGUGCCCCGUCUACCAGGCAAAGAGCCGGUGAGUCCAAGAUGAUAUGGAUCAUUACGGCGGGCGGGGCGGUUCAACGCGACGACCCAUGUCACCGUUGGCUGCGGCGGCGGCGCGAGCCUGUCUACGUUCAGAGACAGUGUGCCGUACUGGAGCUUCUUCAGGGACGCCGACACUUGAUGUUCGGCAAGCUCACGGCCAUCAACAGCUCGUUCCUCUUGUUUGAGUACAAGAAGAGCCGCGACGGCCAUGUGUAUGACCGUUUCAGUCUCGCACGACUACCGUCACCUGGUGGCCUGCUCCGUCGACAGUUGCCCCCGAAGCACCUUGGCCGUCUGAUCGAGCUCCGGACUCUGGAGACAUGUGUUGAUAGAUACACUGUUUGAUAUACUUUCAGCAUUGUUUUUAGUUACCAUUGGUUCUGAAUGCACUGAACCUUCUACCUCGACACUACAUGCUACAUAUCAAAAGGGCAAUGGUGUAGAA